UUGAACAAUCAAACCAAUGUGGGCAAGUUGUAGCUGGCCUCUCGGGGCAUGUGCACACUUGUCUGCAAUUGUUCUCCAUCCACCUGUGAACAUUUUGUAGAUUUGCGAAGCUUAUGAGGAGGGGCAACCUUCCGAAAUAAUGAUUUGCGGUCUAUGUUUUAUAAACUCCAAUGAAAGUCAAAGAAUGUCUUGUUAUAUUCAAAUACAAAUA
rnacentral:misc_RNA from 1 species